UGAUUGGCGGAGUCGACCAAGCUCUGGGUCUGUCGGCUUUCGCCACCCCACUCUUGCGGCCGGACUGUGGCGCUGCAAUCCAGUCUUGCUACUCGGUCCACGGGACUUCGCGGGACGCGCAGGGACGUUUGUACUGCCUCUAGGAACACCAGUCUACCUGGUUCCGCCCGUACCCCACUUUGAGGCCUCGGUCAUGUUCAGGGCCCAGCUGAGGCGAGCUCUUCAGCGAGUGCCUGGGAAGCAGCGAUUCGGCAUCUACAGAUUCCUGCCCUUCUUUUUUGUCCUGGGAGGAACGAUGGAGUGGAUCAUGAUUAAAGUGCGCGUGGGCCAGGAGACCUUCUAUGAUGUCUACCGUAGAAAAGCUUCAGAAAGACAGUAUCAGAGAAGGCUGGAAGAUAUAUCAGAAACCAAUCUUCAUAAGCUAAUAAAGUGAACUUUCAGUGUU
rnacentral:lncRNA from 1 species